GCGAAAGUAGCUCAGUGGUAGAGCAUCGCCUUGCCAAGGCGAGGGUCGCGAGUUCAAAUCUCGUCUUUCGCUCCA
rnacentral:tRNA from 1 species